rnacentral:rRNA from 1 species
AGACAGAGGGUGCAAACGUUGUUCGGAAUUACUGGGCGUAAAGCGCGUGUAGGCUGUUAUGUAAGUCGGGCGUGAAAGCCCUGGGCUCAACCCAGGAAGUGCACCCGAAACUGCAUGACUAGAGUCCUGGAGAGGGAGGCGGAAUUCUCGGUGUAGAGGUGAAAUUCGUAGAUAUCGAGAGGAACACCAGUGGCGAAGGCGGCCUCCUGGACAGUGACUGACGCUGAGACGCGAAAGCGUGGGGAGCAAACAGGAUUAGAAACCCUAGUAGUCC